GUUUGAUUUCAGUGACGUUCAGCUGCGGUUCGUCGUCGAGCGGUCGAGCGGACGUGAAAAAGGACGAGAUACUGACAAAAAGAAAAUCUACACACGCACGCACACAUACAAACACAACACGGCGUAUGCAUAGGUUCAUACAUAACGUCGCCGGACAACACUCGGACCGCGGCCAAGUGAUUGAGGUGUAAACGUUGUAGUUCUGGAAGCCUGUGUUUCGCAAAGCAAAAGAACGCAGUACAAGCGGAGAAAAGGUGUGAAGUGAAUGCGAAUGAAAACAGCCUGCGUGGGUAUGUGAUAAAGUGUUUGUGUGUAAUGUGUGUGUGUGUGUGUUUGUGCGGGAGUGAAGUGUGUUGCUACCAGCUGAUACGCUGAUUGCGCUGUCACACACAUACGCACAUUCAGAUGAAACGAGGAUCGAUCGCGUUCACGCAAAAAUGGCUGCAUCCUUUAAUUAUGAGAGUAAAGUGAAAACAGCGGAUAAUCCAAAACAAGUAUCGCGCGCGUGUGUGUGUGUGUUUGUGUGUAUUACGAAAUAGAAAAUUCCAGUGGAAAGGUCGGUGAGGUGUUUGUGAAACAAUCCAGCGAGAUCAACUGGGCGACGAAACGAUAAAAGGGGGUUGAUUGGAUGGUUGGUUUGGAAUUUCCAUUUACGUGCGCACGGUGAAUCGGCAACACUGUGCGACGCCAUGUGAGAGCUUAUGUGAGUUUAGCACAGCAGUGUGUUGUUGCACGACGUGCAUAAAAAUCGUGUAUCGUGUUCGCUGUUCCGAGUGAAGAUUACUCACUGCUGAUCAACCGUUGAUCUCUGUGCGGUAGAAGAGUUUGGGGAGCGAAGAAAUUGUUUCAUUUGUGAUGUUUCUCCAGCAGUGUAAUUAGUGUAACGAUCUGGUGCGGUGAAGGUAACUGGAGUGUGUGAACGACCUGCCACACCCUGUUACCCGCUGUAGAGUCCGGGCAGGGGCGCCAUUGUGCGAAGGAUAGUGUGAAGGUGAAUAAAAUAAUCUAAUCAAAUAUUCAACAAUUAUCGACCAAAAAAGGGCCGCCAGACCCGACUCCAAGACAACUGGCGAGUGCGUGUGUUUGAGUGCGUUUGUUUGUGGGUGUGUGUAUCUGUGUGCUUCCGCUGUUUGCUGGCGAUGUGCGUGCGUAAGAGAUGAACGAGCUAAGGUUGUAAAUGUAAAAAAAAAGAAACACACAACGUACAAACAGUACACGACUGUGCAGCCGUUUAUUUCUACAACACCGCAACGAAAAGGAUUUUCCUCAACCUUCAAGCAGAGAAAUAAAACAAAACAACAAGGUGAUUUCCUUCGACCUCUUCUAACAAGAAUCAUUGCAAGCUCACCAAAACCACGAUUUGAAAUCCCCCGAAUGGCGCACGAUACGGACCGCCAGCAAGGACGGAACGUUUUCGUGAAAUGACGUUCGUCCUCAAAAUGCCCCCAAGUCCUGGCCGAAGGACCAGUUCAUGGUUCAGAAGUGAAUACCCAACGUAUCAGAGCGGUAAGGGGCCAAGCCGAGGGACAUUCCAGUGGACGGAGGUUAGGUCCUCGAGCCGGAUCCAAUACAAAUCAGCCCUUUUCGUAAUUGACAAAGGAAUACGAGACUACGGCAAGGAUCGCUAAGCGAACCUGGAAUAAAGCCAACAAACAACAAUAACUACAACAACAUUAACAAAAAAAGAAGUCAAACCUUCAGCACGAACCGUUUAAUACCACUGUUCUCCAUAAUCAACGAGUGCAGUUUGUCACCAGUACGCCCAUAAUAUGUGACUAAAAACGAAAAGCUAUGAAAAUACUAAAAAAUAAAAGAAAUCAUCUUACACGAUCCUCGACACGACUCGUCCGAUAUUCUGCGAACCAAGGGUUCUGCUUUCGGGUGUGAAAAUAAUUAAAUACCAUCGUGUCGCGACUGUCGUUUAAUUGUCUACACUUUGGCGAACGAAAAGAAGUGACAUAACACUGGAAAGCGCGCCAAUGAUAAAAAUCUUCACACACGGUUUCACUUGGUACAGAUGCUGUCGUGCUAGUGGCAAACAAAAGAAUAUCACUCCGUCGAGAGCAGCAUUGGCGUGGCAAAGGUGAACUGGGUGGCUAGGUGAACCAUUAACUCUUCGAAAGGCGCGACUACACACCAUCAGAACACACAGCCGUACAGACAGCAACAUAUACGAUCCAAUUUUAAAACUACAUAGAAUUCCAGCAACAUCACACGGUGGCAGGAACCGGUGAAGUGUAUGAAAGGAAUAUAUCAAUACGGCGGAUUGUGAUCCCUUCCCGAGUUUGGUUCUUCAGUCUAUACCUCUGUCUAUCUAUCUCUCUCUCUCUAGCUCACAGUCACAUACACUAUCGACAUUCCUCUCGGUUUUGCAGGCUUACCGAAAGAGCAAUUUAGUAAAGCACGCCAAAAUACGUGGUCAGUUUCAACGGCUAAGAACAGUUUUUCAGCACGAACCACAAACGCACACGUAUACAUCGUCUUUGCCUUUUCAAACAUU